rnacentral:lncRNA from 1 species
GAAAUGUUGUGCAUUAUUACGAAAACAAAAGAUAGAAUACCAAAGUGUGUAUCCUAUUGUGAUUGGAACAUAUAAAAUUAAGUAUGCAUAUUGGUGAACUAAAAGAAGUUGAUUUGUUGAGGCAGGAUUGUGAGUACAUGUUUUACUUUCAUUUAGUCUGUGUGUGUAUGUGUAAUGAAAACGUAAAAUGUUUUACGCUCACAUUGGAAAUAUUUCUCUUCCUUAGGGAUGGAUUCGUUCUGUCCGAUCCCAGAAGGAAGUCUUGUUCCUGCAUGUAAAUGAUGGGUCAUCUUUGGAAAGCCUUCAGGUUGUUGCAGAUUCAGGCCUUGACAGUAGAGAAUUAAAUUUUGGGAGUUCUGUGGAAGUACAAGGGC